ACACUUGCCCUUUAAAUAGGCCUACUAAGAAGCACGCUCCGUCAAUCAUACAACAUGACAUAUAUGCAUUUAAAACAAAUGAAAGUGCAGUAGAUAAUGUAAAACCAAACGCCAAACACACGCACAUAUAGCGUGUAUGUAAAUGUGGUACAAUAUUGUAGGCGUAUUAACGCACUUCUUCUUCGAGUACUGAUAGAAAUA